UACGGGGGGGGGUAAGCGUUGUUCGGAAUUACUGGGCGUAGAGGGCUCGUAGGCGGCCAACUAAGUCAUACGUGAAAUCCCUCAGCUUAACUGGGGAACUGCGUGUGAUACUGGAUGGCUUGGAUUUGGGAGAGGGAUGCGGAAUUCCAGGUGUAGCGGUGAAAUGCGUAGAUAUCUGGAGGAACACCGGUGGCGAAGGCGGCAUCCUGGACCAAUAUUGACGCUGAGGAGCGAAAGCCAGGGGAGCAAAGCGGG
rnacentral:rRNA from 1 species